ensembl:lncRNA
CUCUCUCUCAUGGUUCAGAGACACACACUGCAACACACUUUACUCUUAACCACACACAGGUGUAGCCACUCAUUCAUUACCCGCUCGUUCUCUGUGACACGUCUUCCCAUUUACAGCCAGCACUUGACCACAACUACACUUCCACAGUUGCAACCAUACGAAGUCAUAAAGAACUCAAAAGGAUAUGGCGCAACUGCGAUACUUCCUAGAGGAGGCCAUCCACCAAACGUCAGUGAACGAGUAAGGAGGGCAUCAUUGGGAGGCAGGUUGGUGAGGGGGCUGUAGGUGAGACGGGAAGGGACUGUCUUAUUACUGAUGGUAAUAGCUGAAGACAAUACUGCUCUGUCUAAUAUGAACACCAUGGCAAGCAAUGACCUUGGAGCAUAUUGUUUCUCAGCAGAGACGUGAACUGAAUUACACUUGGAUUCUGGCCAUUUCUUCUACUUCAUUGAAAGCUGGCAAAGAAAAUAGUACCAACAUUACUAAAGUGUCUCUCUCUCUCUCUGCAAUACACUAUUGAGAGGAUCAGUAAAUCAAUAUAUCCACCAUUCACAACAA